rnacentral:rRNA from 1 species
UUCUGGUUGAUCCUGCCGGACCUGACUGCUAUCGGAUUGAUACUAAGCCAUGCGAGUCAUUGUAGCAAUACAAGGCAUACGGCUCAGUAACGCGUAGUCAACCUAACCUAUGGACGGGAAUAACCUCGGGAAACUGAGAAUAAUGCCCGAUAGAACAUUAUGCCUGGAAUGGUUUAUGUUCCAAAUGAUUUAUCGCCGUAGGAUGGGACUGCGGCCUAUCAGUUUGUUGGUGAGGUAAUGGCCCACCAAGACUAUUACAGGUACGGGCUCUGAGAGGAGUAGCCCGGAGAUGGGUACUGAGACACGGACCCAGGCCCUAUGGGGCGCAGCAGGCGAGAAAACUUUGCAAUGUGCGAAAGCACGACAAGGUUAAUCCGAGUGGUUUCUGCUAAAGAAACCUUUUGUCAGUCCUAGAAACACUGAUGAAUAAGGGGUGGGCAAGUUCUGGUGUCAGCCGCCGCGGUAAAACCAGCACCUCAAGUGGUCAGGAUGAUUAUUGGGGCCUAAAGCAUC